GGGGCCCCCGAGCUGGUGACCAUCGUGGAGCGGCUGCUGAGAGAUUCGGAGCGUUGCCGGGGUGUCUCCAUCCACGUGGGCAGCGGCCCGUGCUGCAUGGCAGCCACGCGGGCCACUCGGAACAUGCUGCAGUAGACCACAAGUAUGAGGAGCAGGGGCAACAGAAAGUAAAGGACAGCAAAGACCACCACAAAAAGCUGGCAGUAGGCACUGUGGCUCCACUGGAGUGAACAGCCUGGGGGGACACUGGGAGCUCCUUCCUCCCAGGAGACCCUUCCCAACACUGGCACAGAAGCCAUGGCCAAGGCCUUCACCCACACACCCACCAGCACAGAGGCCACCAGCCCCAGCGUCAUGCGCACCUCGUAGCGCAUGGGGUGGACUACGUAAUAGUAGCGCUCCACAUUGAUGGCUGACACCGAGAGGAUGGCCAGGGCUGGUCCUUGGAAAGCCACCCUUCUGUGGGGAUACCUUGGCACUCACCACCAGGCUCUGGGUCUGGCCCCCAUUCCUGGCCUAGUCGGCAACUCCUACCUUUGCUGAGCAGUCCCGGCUCCCAUGUGAUAGCUCCUCUCAGCUGAU
ensembl:lncRNA novel transcript